UAAGUUACAAUUGGUAACCGA
rnacentral:piRNA from 1 species